rnacentral:rRNA from 1 species
UAGAAAAAUCCGUUUUAUAAUGGUAUUAUUUUAGAGAUUUUUACAACUAGAACUGAAGAGGGUUUAUAUAUUUUAAAUAGACGUUUUUAAUUUACGUACUUUUUGUAUAAUGGCUUAUAGAGUUUGAAAAUAAAUUUUUAUUCCCGAAAACUUUAGAGCUAUUUUUUUUUAUUUUAUUGUUGCAAUAAUAUGAAAAAUUGAAAAUAGAUGUGACAUGUGUUACGAAAAAGUUGAUACCUGGUUUAAUAGGAAAUGCAUUCAGUGCAGCCACGGUAAAAACCAAUCUGAGAUAGCAGAUCGGUUUGGGUCGUGAGUGAAAUAAUAGGGGGUAAGCUCUAUUAUAAAUAAGAAAUCUAAUCUUAAAAAAGUAGAAAUAACAUUUUUAAGCUUUUAAAACUUUUCACAAAUUUUUUUUUUUUUUUUUUAUUAUUACUAUUAUUUAGAAACAACUAGUUUUUAAAAAGUAGUAUAAGAUUAGUAGGAGUAAAAUUAAUUUUCUUCACAUACCAAGUAUUGGAAUAGGGAAAUAUAAUUACAUAGAAAUAUACUAUUGAGGAACUCGGCAAAUCGAACCCCCGCCUGUUUAACAAAAACAUGUCUCUUUGAUAAAUAUUAUAAGGAGUCGGCCCUGCCCGGUGGCGUCGUGCUAAACGGUCGCAAUGGAUAGUUGUGCUAAGGUAGCGCAGUCAAUUGUCCUUUAAUUGGGGAAAGGAAUGAAAGGGUUGACGAGGGGUGAGCUGUCUUUAUAGUAUAGUUUGAAGUUUUCUUUUACGUGAAAAGACUUAAAUUUAAAAAUAAGAAGAGAAGACCCCGGCGAGCUUGGUAAGGGUUAUUAAACUAAAAUAAUUAUUGAGGUUUGUUGGGGCAACGCAAAGGGAAAAUAACUCCUUUGAACGUAAUAAAGAUCCAUUUAGAGUGAAUAAAGCAAAAGCUACCGCGGGGAUAACAGCGCAAUUUUUUCAGAGAGUUCAUAUCGAAGAGAAUGUUUGCGACCUCGAUGUUGGAUUAAGAUUUCCUUUUGGUGCAGGGGUUAAAAAGGUGGGACUGUUCGUCCUUUAAAAUCUUACAUGAUCUGAGUUCAGACCGGCGUGAGCUAGGUCGGUUUCUAUCUAUUAUAAAUUGUUUGUCGUACGUAAGGAUCCGAACAAUAAAAAAUUUUUUUGAUUAUAAAAUAAUUGAAUGAUUGGAUUUAGGCCUAUGUUUGCUUUGCUCGUAUAUUUAACUAUAGGGUUCAUUUUAGUCUUAAUUAUUAAUUAUCUUUGAUGAAGGGAGUUGAAUAA